rnacentral:rRNA from 1 species
UACGUAGGGGGCAAGCGUUGUCCGGAUUUAUUGGGCGUAAAGAGCGUGUAGGCGGCCUGUUAGGUCAGCUGUGAAAACUCGAGGCUCAACCUCGAGACGUCGGUUGAAACCAUCUGGCUAGAGUCCGGAAGAGGAGUGUGGAAUUCCCGGUGUAGCGGUGAAAUGCGCAGAUAUCGGGAAGAACACCCGUGGCGAAGGCGGCUCUCUGGGACGGUACUGACGCUGAGACGCGAAAGCGUGGGGAGCGAACAGG